GGGAAAGCAUCCCGGAGACCUCCUCUCCUAUUUUUUGUCAUUGUCUUUAACAUCAACACCCGAACCUCUACAACUGAACGAUGUCUUAGACAAGAGCCUCCCGCCUCCUGGAAAUCAUGUUGUCAACAAAGUGAUCACCGUUGCAAACCUUGCAUUUGCGUGCUUGCGAACGAAUCCCCAAUCUCGACCAACCAUGCAACAAAUUUCCCGCGAGUUGUUAUUUUGAAGGACCAUUUUUGAAAAAGAUGUUUUAAGGCAAACACCUAAUUACAUAAGCUAUGACGAAACUCUAUGCUAAUAAAGCAAGUCAUAUUAACAUGAUGAGAGCCACUCUGAUCUCUGUCCGUAACCUGCAGACUGAGAGAUCCAGACCGUUCAAGCGAGCACAGAGAUGAGAUCAAAGGCGCAGAAAUGCUCGCAGCUGCUGCAAGCAAAAUUCAGAAGAUAUAAUGGGAGCGGUCAGCAGCAGUCUAAGUGGCAGCAGCUCAAGCAGGUAGGCAGCAUUGCAAGCCAGCAACACCGCAAGCAGGUAGGUAGCAUCGCACACAGGUAAGCAGCAUGCCUCGGUGCCCCUAGCGAGCCUAUGGUGAUGACAGGCUCGCCCCUCUGACGCUCCUCCUACUCUCUUAGCGGCACCAAGUAGGAAGUGUCAUGUUGAAGCGUGACCACCGACUUUGCCUUGCUCCGAGUUGGGACGCCGACAGAUUCGCCACUUGCAGCGGAGGUCCUGACGCUCCUUCCCUUGGUUGCGAAAGCAACUUGACCGUUCUUGGAAGCUAUUGAUUUCGAGGGUUGUUUGGAUUUCUUGAAUGGAGAAAGAGAUGAGGGGCAAAGAUUUUUGGGUGUGCCAAAUUUGUAAAGACGAAAUGCCUACAACAAAUAACACUACAAAAUAAUAUUUGUAUUAGUGAAUUUCGGGUUUAGGGUUAGAAUCUCUAUUUACAAAACUUGAAUCCUCUGAUUCGAUCUCCGAAGAUGUAAAUUGUGUGUGUUAUUCAUUCUUGAUCUUGAAUGAACAAAUGACACGUGGUUUUGGCUCUUGGCAAUGGAGGAACCAGCACAUGUAGGGGUGCUUAGUGGUCCUUCACAAGUGUGGUGAAUAAUGCAUAGAGCUUUUUGAAGCUUCCAGGUGUUUGAGAAUUUAAGGGGUUUGGGAGCAUUAGAGGUUUAACGUCUGAGCGUGAGAAUGAUUUUCUAGACCUUUCUUUAUCUUGGAGCCUUAUAUUUAUAGACUCUCACAAAGCUUUGUCUACGAAAUAACUAAGACUUGAUUUGUACCUUGGGUCGUGAUUUGUGAUUUGGCUCAAUUAAUUAAUACUUGAUUUAAUCAAACAAAAAAAAAUCAAUAUUUUCAUUUGAUUUAAAUGUAAAUUUAAAUCAAAAAUGUAAAUUUAAAUCAAAUAAUUCAUUUCUACCAAGUGUUGACACAUGUCCUCUUGAUGACUCAUCCGGUUUUGAUAAGUCACAUAUCAUGUGUACGAUUUGCAAGAUACAUGAUAUAUGUCACGUAAGUCAAAUAAUUCAUUUUUGCCAAGGGUUGACACGUGUCAUCUUGAUGACUCGUCCGGUUUUGAAAAGUCACAUGCCAUGUGUACAAUUUGUUAGAUACAUGAUACAUGUCACGUAAAUCCUCGCAUGUCGAAAUUUAAUGCGUUGGUGAACAUUUAUUUUCACCAAAAUUUACAUGUCUACAGCUUUCUGUGACCGUAUAGUAAUUUCUCUCAAGAACUUGGAGGGCACUAUACCGUUGUUUAUGUACGCUUGCAUAUAUUGUAUAUUAGUGUCUCCCAACUAUAUUAUUGAUAAAAAUUUGUAACCGGUUCUAAAACUUGUUCAUAUCGUCUCAAUUCCCAUGGGGAGAAGCAGUUUUGUUGGUAUAUUGGAAUAAAAAUGUUUACCAGUCCCAAUCUUUUUUACCAUUUUUAACCAAUGAGAGAAAAUGCGCAGCGCGGGGAUUGAGUAAUACCUUAACACAAUCUGGCUUCACAAAUGUGAAAAGAGAUCAACACAAUUAAAGUCGAAAUUUUUGGGCCAUCCCAAUUUUCAACUUUUGACUAUAGAUGAAUAUGAUAUUUUCACAAAUGUUAAAAGAGAUCAACACAAUUAAAGUCGAAAUUUUUGGGCCAUCCCAAUUUUUAACUUUUGACUAGAGAUGAAUAUGAUAUUUAGUAAAGAGUCUAUAGACGAAUCUGGAUCCACGAAUCUGGAUCCUCUUUGUGAGGAUCCUGAAAAUCCGUCAAUCGUGUUCGUUGAUCAUACAUCGUGUAGUAAAAAAUCAUAUUAAAUUUAUUUAUUUAAAAUUAAACACAAAUAGUACAUGACAAAAAUUGAACGGAUCCUCAAGAUCCUCACAAAGAAUAUCCGAAAAGGAUCCUGUUGGUCUAUAGACUAACUUCGAUAAAUACGACACAGGGAUUCACAUAUAAGCAGAAGUUUGAGGAAGAAGAAAUAAAAUUAUAAAUGAUCCGAGUGCAUUAUUUCAAAUUCCUGCGUUGAACUUGGAAUAAUCCAAAAAAUAGUGAUAUGGCCUGACCGCUAAAGUUAAGGCAAUUACAAUAUUUAAAGGCUAAACCCUAAUUACACAAGGCUAUGACGAAACAAUGCUAAUAAACCAAGUCAUAUUUGUUGGAGAAUAGAAUCUCACAUUGGUAAAAAAGAAUAUACAAUUAAUAUAAGGCAAUUUCCAACUAAUAUUAUAAGUGAUUAAAUUGGAACAACAUUGGUGAUAUUGGUGGUGGACCAUGUUUAGACCUAUAAAGUUUCACAUGAUAUCAGAUAAGGUUAUUCUUUCGACACGUCAUUGGCCCGAUUUACUGGGUUUAAAUUUGCCUCCUUAAGUUGGGAUUUCAAAAAAUUACGCUAGCUCCAACUUAAGGAGAUUAAAUGACUGGGCCCUCAAAAAGUUGUGUUGGCCCUAGCACUUGAAUGAUGAUCGGGCUCUCGAAAAGUUGCGCAAGCUUCGAUUUAAUGACUUGACCAGUUCCCAGUAAAUUGGCCACUGUGACUUGGAUUGCCCCAUGCCUUUCUUGGUUGGACCAGCCCAACUGUCGACUUCCGUCUUCCUGAAUUGGGAGAGCAAGAACAAGUCUAUUUUCUUGAGAUGCGUAGGCUCAUCGCAUCAAAGCUACCAAUCUAAAGUAGUGUGCGUCACUUUAUGUACUCAAAUUCAAAUUUUCUUUUUUGUGCAACUAAUGUAACAUAGACAAUGACUGAAAAGAAACUGGCUUGAGUUUCAUAGGAGAGACAAAGUUGUAUGGAAUGCUGAUUUGAGGUCAAAAAUUUAAUGCAUAUAUUCUUCGUAAACAGACGGGUAUAGUAUUUCGGUUUAUAUUUCUCAUGCCUUUUAGUCGAAUAGAUUGUGUUCGAGUUGGACAAAAGUCAUACAACACAAGAUACAGAAGGCGGGACGACACAAUCACGCAAAAACAUGACCUAUAGGAAGGAUCGAUGUACAAGAGCACUUACACAAUUCCACGAUAUGUUAAUAUUCCACCAUGCUUUCGAAGCUGAUGUUCUCACCGGCCUACUCUAUCGACACUGGCAGGGCAUGCAGUAACGCUUUUCUCACUUUGAGGCGCCUCAUUCACCAACCUGUAUUAUUGAAUGUGUAACAACUUGUUCCGAAUUUUAUGGAACGAAAGGGGUAUUUUCGUAUUUUUCCAAGGUGGGGGCCCACCCUUGACUUUUCAUAAAGGGAUCCACUUCGAAAUCCAACACUAUAAUCCAGAAACCUUAAAUUUUUAUUUAACCGUCGAUUAUCAUUUACACUUUAUUCUUCUUACUGAAUUUCAUUUUUAAAAUUUUCUUUUUUGAAAACAUGAUCAUCUGGCAGAUGUAAGAAGAUGAACGGUUCAGAUCUUUGAUAUCACGUUUCGAUAUUUACGAUUAACUGAAAUAUGAGUCGAUGUCAUAUAGUUUGUAGAAACUUUAUAAACAUCAAGCAAUAUUUUCACUAACCGUAAAACUCUGAACAUAAUAUCAACGAUCCAAACAUUUCAUCUUCCUGCAUCCUCUAAUAGAUCAUGUUUUCAAAAAAGAAAAUCCGAAAAAACAAAAUUUGAUGAGAAAAAUGAAGCGUAAAUGUGAAUAAUAAUCAAUGGUUAAAUUUUGAUCUAUGAUUUAUAUGAUUAUAGUGGCGAAUUUCGAAGUUAAGCUUUUCAUGAAAGUUGUAAAACUUGUCAUUACGAGCGUUUAUAUAUUUUUUUCUAUAUUUUUUUACACUUCUACAUUAAUUAAAAAACUAUUAAAGAAAAUGUGCAAGUUUCCAAUGUCCUUAAUUUUGCAAAUUUUUUGAACAUUUGAUAUUUUGUAAUGUUCUAAUGUUUUUUUAUUUAUUAUGCUCUUAUUUUGGGUAUGUAAAUAUAUACUUAAAAGAAAAAUGCGUUUUUAUGUUUUGGAUGUGACAAUAUGGUAUGUAUAUACUUAUUUAGUAUUAUGUUUUUCAUUUGAUUAUUUAUUAGUUUAAAAUAUAUUUUCCUUAACGGGUAACGGGUCGGGUCAUAUUACCUGUUAAUAUUAUCGGGUCAAUUUCGAGUCGGGUCAUUUUACCCGUUUAUUUUAACGGCUAGCUUUCCAUUGAGACAUUGCACGACAUGCUAGGUUUCGGAAAACCUAUUUUAUUUAUCAUGCUAUAUUGUGUUUUCAUAAAACCUGUGGGUUAAUAUGUUGAUAACUGUUUUAUUAUAUAUAUAUAUAUAUCAACUUGGUCCACUCAUGUUUGUUUUGCGCCCCCUUCAUGACUUAGAAUCGAGGCGUACAAUCCCGGUGUCAGGGCACUUUCGCAUCGGCAUAUUCGAGUCCUCUCAGUGUAGGACACACAUUCCUUUAUUCAUUCAAUUUUAUAUUCUUGCUUUUAGUGUUCUAGAUUAGAUGUGUGCUCUGAACACGUUCAUAAAUUGCAUAUUAAUUAUAUUUAAAUUCUUUUAUCUUAUUCAUAUUGUGACAUCCCACAUCGCCCAGGGGAGUAAUCCUUAAAUGUAUAUUCUCAUCCCUACCUAACACGAGGCCUUUUGGGAGCUCACUGGCUUCGGAGUUCAUCGGAACUCGGAAGUUAAGCGAGUAGCGCACAAGAGCACUCCCAUGAUGGGUGACCUACUGGGAAGUUCUUGUGUGAGUUCCCAGAAACAAAACCAUGAUGGCGUGGUCGGGGCCCAAAGCGGACAAUAUCGUUCUAUGGUGGUGAACGGGCCCGGGAUGUGGUGGACCUUGGGCCGGGAUGUGACAAUUUGGUAUCAGAGCCUAACCCUGGCCGUGGUGUGCCGACGAGGACGUCGGGCUCCUAAAAUGGGUGGAUUGUGACAUCCCACAUAGCCUAGGGGAGUGAUCCUUAAAUGUAUAUUACCAUCCUUACCUAGCAUGAGGCCUUUUGGGAGCUCACUGGCUUCGGGUUUUGUCGAAACUCUGAAGUUAAGCGAGAAGGUGGACAUAGCACUUUCAUGAUGGGUGACCUAUUAGGAAGUUGCUUGUGAGUUCCUAGAAACAAAAUCAUGAGGGUGUGGUCGGGGCCCAAAGCGGACAAUAUCGUGUUACGGUGGUGGAACGGGCCCGGGAUGUGGUGGAUGUGGUGGACCCGGGUCGAGAUGUGACAAUGGUAUCAGAGCCAAUCCUUGGCCGGAAGUGUGCCGACGAGGACGUCGAGCCCCUAAAGGGGGUGGAUUGUGACAUCCCACAUCGCCCAGGGGAGUGAUCCUUAAAUGUAUAUUCCCAUCCCUACCUAACACGAGGUCUUUUGGGAGCUCACUAGCUUCGGAGUUCAUCGGAACUCGAAAGUUAAGCGAGUAGCGCACGAGAGCACUCCCAGGAUGGGUGACCCACUGGGAAGUUGCUCGUGAGUUCCCAAAAACAAAACCGUGAGGGAAUGAUAAGCCCAAAGCAGACAAUAUCGUGCUACGGUGGCGGAGAGGGCCCGGGAAGUGGUCCGACCCAGGCUGAGAUGUGACAAUUGGUAUCAGAGCCAGUCUCUGACUCGAAGUGUGCCGACGAGGAAGUCGGGCCCCUAAGAGGGGUGGAUUGGGACAUCUCACAUCGUCCAUGGGAGUGAUUCUUAAAUGUAUAUUCCCAUCCCUAUCUAACACGAGGCCUUUUGGGAGCUCACUGGCUUUGGAGUUCAUCGGAACUCGGAAGUUAAGCGAGUAGCGCACGAGAGCACUCCCAGGAUGGGUGACCCACUGGGAAGUUGCUCGUGAGUUCCUAAAAACAAAACCGUGAGGGAAUGGUAAGCCCAAAGUGGACAAUAUCGUGCUACGAUGGUGGAACGGGCCCGGGAUGUGAUGGACCCGGGUCGAGAUGUGACAAUGGUAUCAGAGCCAAUCCCUGGCCGGAAGUGUGCAGACGAGGACGUCGGGCCCCUGAGAGGGGUGGAUUGUAACAUCCCACAUCGCCUAGGGGAGUGAUCCUUAAAUGUAUAUUCCCAUCCCUACCUAGCACGAGGCCUUUUGGGAGCUCACUGGCUUCAGGUUUCGUCGGAACUCCGAAGUUAAGCGAGAAUAUGGCCAGAGCACUCCCAUGAUGGGUGACCCACUGGGAAGUUGCUCGUGAGUUCCCAGAAACAAAACCAUGAGGGCCUGGUCAGGGCCCAAAGCGGACAAUAUCGUGCUACGGUGGUGGAGUGGGCCUGGGAAGUGGUCCGCCCCGGGCCGAGAUGUGACAAAUUUGGUAUCAGAGCCUAACCCUGGCCGUGGUGUGUCGACGAGGACGUCGGGCCCCUAAGGGGGGUGGAUUGUGACAUCCCACAUCGCCCAGGGGAAUGAUUCUUAAAUGUAUAUUCCCAUCCCUAUCUAACACGAGGCCUUUUGGGAGCUCACUGGCUUUGUAGUUCAUCGGAACUCGGAAGUUAAGCGAGUAGCACACGAGAGCACUCCCAGGAUGGGUGACCCACUGGGAAGUUGCUCGUGAGUUCCUAAAAACAAAACCGUGAGGGAAUGGUAAGCCCAAAGUGGACAAUAUCGUGCUACGAUGGUGGAACGGGCCCGGGAUGUGAUGGACCCGGGUCGAGAUGUGACAAUGGUAUCAGAGCCAAUCCCUGGCCGGAAGUGUGCAGACGAGGACGUCGGGCCCCUGAGAGGGGUGGAUUGUAACAUCCCACAUCGCCUAGGGGAGUGAUCCUUAAAUGUAUAUUCCCAUCCCUACCUAGCACGAGGCCUUUUGGGAGCUCACAGGCUUCAGGUUUCGUCGGAACUAUGAAGUUAAGCGAGAAUGUGGCCAGAGCACUCCCAUGAUGGGUGACCCACUGGGAAGUUGCUCGUGAGUUCCCAGAAACAAAACCAUGAGGGCCUGGUCAGGGUCCAAAGCGGACAAUAUCGUGCUACGAUGGUGGAAUGGGCCUGGGAAGUGGUCCGCCUCGGGCCGGGAUGUAACAAAUUUGGUAUCAGAGCCUAACCCUGGCCGUGGUGUGUCGACGAGGACGUCGGGCCCCUAAGGGGGGUGGAUUGUGACAUCCCACAUCGCCCAGGGAAGUGAUUCUUAAAUGUAUAUUCUCAUCCCUACCUAACACGAGGCCUUUUGGAAGCUCACUGGCUUCGGAGUUCAUCGGAACUCGGAAGUUAAGCGAGUAGCGCACGAGAGCACUCCCAUGAUGGGUGACCCACUGGGAAGUUGCUCGUGAGUUCCCAAAAACAAAACCGUGAGGGCGUGGUCGGGGCCCAAAGCAGACAAUAUCGUUCUAUGGUGGUGGAGCGGACCCGGGAUGUGGUGGACCUUGGGCUGGGAUGUGACAGAUAUUUUAGUUCUCAUGCAUUCAAUAAAUGGCUUUCGUCACCCUCGGGUGUCGGUCAGCAUGUGCCUAUUUUGGUGUUCAGGGAAUAUCAGGAUCGGGAGGUGUCAGAAUGACUCGAUGUUAUACAGGGCCAGCCCUGUGAAUUUAGGGGCCUUAGGCGAGUCUUUAAAGUGGGGCCCUAAAAUUCUCUGAUCUCCGGUUCUUUGUAUAUUGAUUUAUAUAAAAAAAGAAUUCGUUAAAUACAUAAAAAUUUCUAUUUUCACAUCAAAUAUCAUUAAAAAUUAAUAUCAAAAGAAGAUAAAUAUACAAACAUUAUUUAAACAUUACACGAUUCACGUUUUUAGACACAAAUGUACUAAAUAUUUGCAAUCAAGAGUUUAAGAUUGAGAGUGAAGAACAAUAAAACUUGAUGAUCAAGAGAGUAAAUAACAAUAAAACUUGAUUGACGAGUAUAAUAAAUUCAAUGCCAAUUGUUUCUCUUGUGUUUUUUUCUUCUAAAAUCAACAUCACACUAACAAAUUGAAUUUUAAAAUGGAGAGAAUGGGAGAAUGGGAAGUUGGUUUAAACAUUCGAUAGAAAUUGAGAGAAUAAGAAGUUGAAAGAAAAAAGAUUGCAAAGAGACUUGCGUUUUAUAACUUUAUAUGCAUUUGGACAGAUGGAUUAACUGUAAAUUUAAAAAACAAGAAAAAUUAAGAAAAAUCUAGUGAUUGAAAGACAGCUUUGUGUUUCAAACUCAACACCCCAAGUCCAACUAUGUGAUACUCCUACCAAUUUCUCUUCAAAUUGCAUUUAAAAACCGAUUUGUAAAGAAAGGAAACUCAAUUGUCUUAAACAAUCUCAUGUUAUGCCCUCGCAUAUUGUUGCCGCGUAUGCAUGUUAUGAUCGUCUACUGCGGUCAAAUAAGAGAGUCCUCCUCAUGGUCCUGCCAUUGAAUUUGUGAGGCACUGAUAACGUAGCAUGACUUUGAAAAACGUGGUUUGACAAAAUCGUUUCACAGUUCACACUCGGGAAGUAAUGGUGCAAGUAAUGCUAAUAAACUUUUAAUAUUAGGAUUAGUCAGAUAAUUCUAAUUUGGCACCUAAUUUCAUAUAAAAGUCAAGGUCAAAUGACAAUCUAUUGUCUUCCUCAAGACCAACCCAGCUUAAUUUGGCAGUUGGGGGUUUCUUGAGCCAUCUUAUGGUUUCCAGAAAUGAAGAAAUCCUUCCAACUUAGAAUUAUGGCAUCCAAAGAAGGAAAAGCACUUUCUUCCAAAGCUGCUUAUUCACAUAAUUCACUUCAAGUCAUCCCAAUUAUACUCAUUCUCAUGUUGGUUUCUUCAACUUCAAUAGCAACAGCAGGGCAAGAAGCAGAAGCACUUCUGAAUUGGAAAGCUAGCAUUGACAACAACACAAGCUUCUCUCUCUUGUCUUCAUGGAUUGGAAACAGCAUAUGCAAUUGGGAAGGAAUUGCUUGUAACAAUUUUGGAAGCAUAACCCAAAUAAACCUCACUUCUUCUGGCAUAAGAGGUACACUUCAUGAUUUUGGUUUCUCAUCUUUUCCAAGUCUCAUGAGCCUUAACCUGAGCCACAACGCAAUUUUUGGAACAAUCCCAUUGGAAAUAGGGUUUCUGAAAAGCCUUCAAACCCUUGAUCUUACUGAAAACAACAUUAAUGGAUCCAUUCCCCAUGAAGUUGGAAUGUUAGGCAACUUAACCUUUCUUUCCCUUCAUGACAACAAACUAUCUGGAAGUUUCCCAAUAGAAAUAUGUAUGCUCAGUUCGCUCAGUGUGAUUGAUGUAGGAAUAAACAAUCUUACCGGUUCGAUUCUAGAAGCAAUCGGAAACCUGUCCAGCUUAACUUUUCUAGCCCUUGCUUUCAACAAUUUCUCCUGCGCAAUUCCUUCCACUAUAGGCAACCUGACCAGUCUCAAGGUGUUAUAUCUGAAUGUGAAUCAAUUAAGUGGAAGUAUCCCACCCGAAGUAGGAAAGCUCAAAUUUAUUACUAACCUAGGAUUGAUGGAUAACAAACUCAAUGGCUCCCUUCCUUUAGAAAUGAAUAAUUUUACGUUUCUGAAGGAGUUGUGGAUGAGCAACAACAACUUUUCUGGCAGCAUUCCACAAGACAUGCAUCGGCAGAGUACUUAAAAGGUUUACAGCACACAACAAUCAGUUUACAGGCCACAUGCCUAGAAGCUUGAGGAACUGCACCAUCUUAGUAAGAUUGAGGCUAGAGAGGAACCAGCUAGUAGGAAACAUAGCUCAAGAGUUUGGCAUAUACCGAAACUAAAUUAUGUCGAUUUAAGCUACAACAGAUUCUAUGGAGAGCUUUCAGAAAAUAUGGAGCAAUGCCAAAGGUUACAAAGCUUAAGGCUCAGCAACAACAAAAUUUCUGGGAGGAUACCUCGGUUUGAGGGAUCAAUUCAGCUCUAUGUGCUUGACCUAUCUUUGAAUAAUCUCACUGGGACAAUCCCAAAGGAACUAGGGAAGUUGACAUCCUUGUUCAACCUUAACCUAGAUAAUAACAAACUUUCGGGCAGUGUGCCUUCUGAGAUUGGAAUGCUAACCAACCUACAAAAUCUUAACUUAGCUGCCAAUCAUUUCAGUGGACUAAUUUCUGAAAAAUUAGACGGGUGCAGAGAGUUGCUGAACUUGACUUGAGCAGAAACAAAUUUAGUGAGAGCAUUCCUAUUCAGAUAUGGAGCAUAAACUCUCUUCAAGUUCUUGAUCUCAGUCAAAAUUCUCAGAAAUUGAAAUAUACUUUAUUAUUAUUUGUUUACAAGAGGGAAGUCCUCUCAUAUAGAGGGCCAAAAACUAGUCCUAACAAGUGGACAAGCCAAAUGAUGAUUACAUGAGGAAAACACUGAAGAGGAAAAUAAGGAGAAAAGGAAAGCAAAGCAAAGUAAUGAUGGCUAGCUAUAAAGCAAAGUAAUGAUGGCUAACUAUAAAUAAAGUAAUGAUGGCUAGCUGGAGGAAUAAUUACAAGUCUAUUGUCUAUACCAAUAAUGUCUAGCAGCUAUUAUUGACACUCCCCCUCAAGUUGGUGCGUAGAUAUCAUGAUGCCCAACUUGCGUAGUGAGUUGUGAAAUACUGAACUUGUGACUGUUUUGGUAAGCAUGUCUGCUAAUUGAUCUUUAGAUUUAACGAAUAGAACUUCAAUAAGUCUUGCCUCAAUUUUUUCUUUAAUAAAAUGUCUAUCCACCUCCACAUGUUUGGUUCGAUCAUGUUGAACCGGAUUGUGAGCAAUGUCAAUUGCAGCCUUGUUGUCACAAUGUAGACGCAUAGCAUGCUUGGGCCUAAAUCCCAAAUCUCUUAGUAAAUUCUUCACCCAAAGCAGUUCACAUACUCCAUGUGCCAUGCUCCGAUAUUCUGCUUCGGCACUUGAUCUAGCAAUAACCUUUUGUUUCUUACUACGCCAAGAGACUAGGUUUCCUCCAACAAUAACAAAGUAUCCUGAUGUUGAUCGUCUGUUAGUUACAUCACUAGCCCAAUCAGUAUCAGUGUAGCCUUUAACGUCUAGAUGAUCAUGUUUUGAAAACAUUAAUCCUUUCCCAGGAGUUGACUUUAAAUACCUCAAGAUACGGUUUACAGCAUCCAUGUGUGUUUCACUUGGUGCAUGCAUAAAUUAGCUUACCAUGCUCACUGCAUAUGCUAUAUCUGGUCUAGUAUGUGGAAGAUAUAUUAGCUUACCAACAAUUCGUUGAUUCUCUCUUUGUUAGUAAGUAUCUGAUCAGGAUAUUCACCAAGUUUGUGAUUUAGCUCAAUUGGGGUAUCUGCUGGUUUGCAUGCUAGCAUCCCAGUUUCCGUCAAAAUAUCAAGAACAUAUUUCCGUUAUGAUAGAAAUAUUCCUUGUUGUGAGCGGGCCACCUCAAUGCCUAAGAUAUACUCUAAAGCACCGAGAUCUUUCAUCUCAAAUUCACUUGCUAGAUACUUUUGCAGUGCUGCCUUCUCUUCUGGAUCAUUUCCUGUAACCACCAUGUCAUCCACAUAUACAAUAAGAGCAGUGAUUUUACCUUUCUUAUGCUUUAAGAAAAGAGUAUGAUCUGAGUUGCUUUGCUUGUAUCUGAAAAAUUUCAUUGAUUUGGUAAAUCUCCCAAACUAAGCUCUUGGUGAUUGCUUUAAACCAUACAACGACUUUUUUAGUUUACAAAUGUUGUUAGUCUGAUUGGGAUCCAGCUUGCAUCCUGGGGGAAGCUCCAUAUAAACUUCUUCUUCUAAAUCUCCAUCCAAGAAAGCAUUUUUGACAUCAAAUUGUUACAAAGGCCAGUCAAGGUUUGCUGCUAGGGAUAAGAGUACAAGAAUAGUGCUUAUCUUAGCUACAUGGGCAAAAGUCUCUCCGUAGUCAAUGCCAUAUGUCUGCAUGUAGCCUUUUGCCACUAAUCUUGCUUUGUAUCUCUCAAUAGUGCCAUCUGCAUUGAAUUUUACUGUGUAUAUCCACUUGCAACCAACUGAUUUCUUCCCUUUGGGUAGGUUAGUUAACUCCCAAGUGGAAUUUUUCUAGAGUGCCUCCAUUUCUUCAUUCAUUGCACGAGUCCACCUAGGAUCUUUCAUAGCAUCCUUUACACUACAAGGAAUAAAUACAGUGGAUAAUUGAUUUACAAAUGCCUCACAUAAUGUAGAUAACCUAUGGAGGGACACAUGGUUAGCAAUUGGGUAUUUAACCUUGGCUCUAUGAUCAGGAUCAUAUAACUGUUUAGGAAUCCCUCAAGAUUUUCGAAGGGGAAGUUGAUAAUUAGUGGACUCAAUCUGACUUGACUCAGGUACGAUCUCAAUAGAAUUAGAUUGAUCAGUUACCUGUUGAUUGUGUUCAGAGGCUGAUUGAUCAUGUGGUACUGUUAAAGAUCGCAAUCCCAAGCCAUAUGGACUUAACGUUGCUGGAUGUACUUCUGCGUCUGAUGUUGGAGUCGAUGAUUCUGUUUCUGCAUGUGUUGUUUGAUUACAGUCGUCUACUGACUUAUCAACAUUUAUCUCAGUUUCUGAAAUUUCUGCAACAAUUUUAAUGUUGCUAAUGUCUUGGGUAUCCUCUUCAAACAUACUAUUCUCCUUCUGAAGGGGAUACUCAAUGUCUCCCUUUGAAAAAUAUGUUUCUCCUUCUUGAAACUAGACAUCUGAGUGGUGUAUAGAGUUUGUGUAGGAGGAUGAAAACAUUUGUAUCCCUUUUUUGUAUCAGAAUAACCCAAGAAUACACACCGGAGGGCACAUGGAUCAAACUUCCCCUGUUGAUGUGGAUAAACCUGUACAUAAGCCACACACCCAAAGAUACGUGGUUCUAAGUUUGGCAUAGAUGGAAAGGUGAGAAGGUGGUUAAGUGUUUGGAAUAGUGUUUGAUAUUGGAAAGUACUGGAUGGUGUUCGAUUUAUGAGAUAUGUUGCAGAACACAGUGCCUCCCCCCAAAACUUAUGAUACAUGUUGGCACCAUAUAAAGAUGCACGAACCACUUCUAAAAGAUGUUGAUUCUUCCUCUCUGCUACACCGUUUUGUUGAGGUGUAUAGGCACAUGUGGUUUGAUGAACAAUACCAUGCUCUUGUAAAUAGUUAUGCAGAGCAUGAUUGACAUAUUAUCUUCCAUUAUCAGACCUGAGUGUCUGAAUUUUCUUGUCAAACUGAGUUGCAACAUAUUGAUGAAAAAUAUUGAACUUGGUAGGAACUUCACUUUUGUGCUACAUUGGAAACACCCAGGUCAUUCUAGUACAGUCAUCUAUAAAUGUCACAAACCAUCUAAAUCCAGAAGUGGUAAAAAUUCUGGCAGGACCCCAAACGUCAGAAUGAACGACCAUGAAUGGCAAAGAACUUUUAUUUAAUCUUAAUGGAUAGGAAACACGAUGACUUUUGGCCAAAAUACAAAUUUCACAAUGGAAAUCAGAUUCUUUGAAUUGGGGAAAAAAUUCAGGGAAUAAAAGUUUAAGAUAACCAAAUGAGGGAUAUCCUAAUCGCCUGUGCCAUAACCAAAUCUUCUUCAUUUGGGUUGAUUCGUCUAUGCUUACAUGAUGCACUUGACUCAAUUUAUUGCUGCAUUAUUCCGUUAAGUCCAAAUAAUAUAGUUUGCCCCUUCUAGUACCACAACCAAUCACGGCCCUGGUGAGCAGAUAAUGGAAAGGACAAUAUAGUGGUCAAAAGGAAAUAGAACAAUUAAGGGAGUCAAUAAUUUGAGAAACAGAUAAAAGAUCGUAAUCUAGGGAUGGUACAACUAGGACAUGAUCAAGAUUGAGUGAGGAGGUUAGUGAAAGAGAGCAUUCUCCAGUAACCGGAGAGAUUGAACCAUUGGCACUGGUAAUGAAUGUCUGGUUGGCUGUUUUUAGUGACUGAAGAAUGUUAGCAUCAGAUGUCAUGUGAUAUGUGGCACCUGUAUCAAUAAUCCAAGAUCUAUUACAAGUAUUAGCGGAUGUAGAAUUAGAUAUACCUGAGGUGUUCAAGGCUUUUGAGACAUGGUCAGAUGAGCUAACAUCUUGAGAAGACUCAGAUGUGGUGAAUGAUACUCUGCUGGAUUCCUUCUUUCGUCCUUUGUGAACCCAUCCUUCUAGAUAGCCAAUAAUCUCAUAACAGCCUUGAAUAGUAUGAUUUUUCAAUCCGCAUUUGGUGCACUGCAUAGGUGGUCGAUUACGAAAUCGAUCAGCUGUUAAGGAGUUUAUGUUUUGAAGUUGAUGUCCUUGUGGAGAUUAAGAAUUUGUGGUAAAGAGCACAGUAGCUUCAGGCAUGGUGGCACCUUUUGACAUGGUUCCUUGUCGAUUGCUUUCAUGUUUGACAUGUGAGUAUGCUCCUUCAAGACCAAGUUUGGGCUCCAUCCUUAAAAUCUCACCACAAAUUUGAUCAAACUUGUUGUCUAAUCCUGCAAGAAAAAUAUAGACUCGAAGUCGCUCAAUUUCUUGCUGCCUUGAUGAGAUAUCAUCUGGGUCCUUCAUGUUAGUAGGACUAAGUUGAUCAAGUUCUUGAAAAAUCUCGGUGAGAUUGCUGUAAUAGUUAGCAAUAGGAGCUCCAUUUUGCUUCAUGGUAAACAAGGAAGAAAAUAUCGGUAAUAUCGGAAAUAUCGGUAGUCCGAAAACACGGAAAUAUCGAUGGAAAUAUCGGGAUAAUAUCGAUAUCGAUAAAAAUUACAUGGAAACCAUGGAAAUUGUAAGAAAAACUUGGAAAUUUUUAUUGAAACUUUGCAGGAUGUUUAUUUAGUCAAUUAUCUAUUAGUUUAUCACAAAAAAUUGGAAGGAAAUGCAUUGCAUGAUGGAUUUAACAUUAUCAAAUUGAUUAUAUAGCGAGCUGACAAACAUUGUGAGUGUAGAAAAUAUGUAGAAAUUAAUGAAAGAAGUCUAAACACACCAUAAUCAUUUAUAUAUAAUGAAUUAGUACAAUAUUUUACACUUUAUACAUUGCAUGGUAAGAUACAUGAGUAGCUUAGUACCACAUAGAGUUCUUAUAAGGUUCAAAAUUUUCACUAUCUUCAUCAUCUCUAUGUGUAGAGUGAGUGUAUUUUGAAGAGUAGUUAGCAACCAUGGCAAUGGUUUUCAAGAACCAAAACCCAAAAGUCAAUAGGAAACCGAAUACUUCGGUAUUUUUCGGGAUUACCAAACAAAUGGGAUUUGGAAACCAAUCCCAUAUCGAAAUUUCGGUAUUUUUCGGGAUGGGAUUCCCGAACUUCAGGAUGGUUUUGGUUUGGGAUUUUUCGGUUUGGGUUUGGGACUUUUUCGGUUUGGUUUGGGAUUUUCCGGAAUUUUUUCCAGCCCUACCAUGUAAGUGACCAAAUAAAAAAUAGAAAAAUUAAAAACCACAUGCCAUUGACUAAGUAAUUAAUUGACACAAUUUAAAAUAUAAUACCACAAAAAAUUUGGAAUAUGUGCAAAUUUGUUUCUUGUAAAAAGAAUUCAAAACAAAACCAUAUAUAUAAAUAUUGUAGCUUAUUAUCACAACAACAUAAGUGGUACAGUGGUUAAGGCGUUAAGGAGUUAAGUGGGAGGGGUUCGAACCCCUCUAUGCUCAAAAUUGAGACUUUUCCAAAUUUUCAGGAAUUUUUGUACUAAUAUCGCGAUAUUGUAGCUAAUAUCGCGAUAUUAUAAGUAAUAUCGAGAAGGCGAUAUUUUCGAUAUUUUCUUCCAUGAUGGUAAAUGACCUUUCGAUAUUUUCUUCCAUGAUGGUAAAUGACCUUUUACGAAGAUCAUAAAUUUUGGCUUCAUCAGAGCCAUCUGAGUAAGUCUUUUUUAUGGCAUCCCAUACUUGCAUAGCUGUGUUGUAACGGAUGAACCGCUUCAUCUGAUUGGGUGUCAUAGCAUCAAAUAACCAACUUUUGACUUGGCAAUUUUUAGCUCGCCACUUGUUAUACAGUGGGUCUGUGAUUGCAGGCUGCUUGGUAUCACCGGAAAGAUGCCCAUGUUUUUCUCGACCAGCAAUUUUCAUCUCUAUGACUUGAUGCCAGAGAGAAUAGUUGUUCUCAUCAAGUUUAAUUCCCGCAGAGAAAUUGGAAUUAUCAUUUUGAAUGGUGACCACUUGUGUGGUGAAGUUUGAUUCACCUGGUGUGAAGGACUAAAUUGGUGGGUCUGAUACUUCAUCAUCACUAGCCAUUGUAUAGGCUUAAGAUCAAUGAAGUUAAAAUAAAAAUAAAACUGAUAUGAUGAUUGAGAUAUGAUAUGGCGGUAGCUUUUUUCUGUUUUUGAGGUUCAAGAGUCAGUCAUGAUCGACUGCUCUGAUAUCAUCUCAGAAAUUGAAAUAUACUUUAUUAUUAUUUGUUUACAAGAGGGAAGUCCUCUCUUAUAGAGGGCCAAAAAUUGGUCCUAACAAGUGGACAAGCCAAAUGAUGAUUACAUGAGGAAAACACCAAAGAGGAAAAUAAGGAGAAAACGAAAGCAAAGCAAAGUAAUGAUGGCUAAUAUACAAUAAAGUAAUGAUGACUAGCUAGAUGAAUAAUUACAAGUCUAUUGUCUAUACCAAUAAUGUCUAGCAGUUAUUGUUGACAAAAAUUCACUGAUGAGUGAAAUCCCACCACAGCUUGGAAAUUUGAUGAAACUGGAAGUGUUGAAUCUCUCCCACAACGAGCUCUUUGGUUCAAUCCCAACUACAUUCGAUAACAUGUUGAGCUUGACAGAUGUUGACGUAUCAUACAAUCAUUUGAAGGGUCUUCUUCCCAACAAAAAAGAGUUCCACGUGGCUUCAGCUCUAGCCUUUGCAAAUAACACAGGCUUGUGUGGCAAUGCCACUGGUUUGAAUGUUUGCCCAUAUGAAAAAAGAAGGGAGAAAAAGAGCAACAAAUUGGUUAUGUUCAUUGUACUCCUUGUUUUAGGCAUCCUAUUUUUUGCAUUUGUUGUAACUGGGAUUCUUUACGUGGUCUGCUAUCUGCAAAAAACACGAUUAAAAGAAGACCCUUUUACGGUUUAGAGCAAUGAUGGAAGACUUGAGUAUGAGGACAUUAUUGAAGCCACAUAGGAAUUCAACUCCAAAAAUUGUGUGGGGGUAGGAGGCAAUGCAAGUGUUUACAAAGUUGAGCUCCCAACAUGAUGGAUUCUUGCGGUGAAGAAACUUCACAUGCUGCAGGACAGGGGAGUGGCAAAUCUCAAGGCUUUCGAGAGUGAGGUUUGUGCUCUUACAGAAAUCCGUCACAGAAAUAUUUUAAAGCUUUAUGGUUUAUGUUGGCAUCCGCAACACACUCUUUUGUUUUACGAUUUUGUAGAAGGAGGAAGCUUGGAAAACAUACUGACUAACGAAAACCAUGCAGUUAAGUUUGGAUGGAUUGAGAGGGUGAAUGUUGUCAACGAUGUUGCUAAUGCAUUAUCUUAUAUGCAUCAUGAUUGUUCACUUCCGAUAGUACAUCAAGACAUUUCGAGUAAGAACAUUUUGCUGGAUCUGGAAUAUAGAGUUUAUGUCUCCGAUUUUGGUACUGCUAAGCUCUUGAAGCUUGACACUUCGAAUUGGACUUCGUUUGUAGGCACAUUUGGAUAUAGUGCUCCAGGUAGUAAUUUCUCCUUGAAUUCUUCCAGUUAACAUGAUUACUUCUUUCUUGCUUUUACUCGUCACGAUUUGGUCUUUGUUUUGCAGAGUUAGCAUACACGAUGGAAAUAAACAAGAAAUGCGAUGUUUAUAGCUUUGGAGUGGUAGCACUAGAAGUAAUCAUGGGAAAGCACCCCAACCUAUACAAGUGAACGACAUCAUAGACAAGAAACUCUCGCCUCCUGGAAAUCAUGUUGUAAAAAAAGUGAUCACCAUUGCAAACCUUGCAUUUGCAUGCUUGCAGACGAAUCCACAAUCUCGACCAACCAUGCAACAAAUUUCCCGUGAGUUGUUAUUUUGAAAGACCUUUUUGCCAAAGAUGUUUGCAAAACCCUAAUUGUUGGAUUUAUUCCAAUAUAAAUCAACCUUAAGUGGUCUACAAUAUAAUAGGAAUGUAAUAUUAGAGAAUAAUAUUGAGAUUGUAAUUUAAUUCCCUUUGAAUCAAUCUUAUAUUUCGGGUUUUGGAAUACAAUUAAGAUUGAUUGAGUCUUUGACAACAAUAUGAGGAGUGUCAUCACAGCCACUAAUUAUAUGAUUAAUACCUAUUAAGUUUGAUGUUGGAUUAUAUAAUAUUUUCAUGAACUGCUUUUUUUUUUUUUAAUCUUAAAUGACCAAGGUGUCAUUGCAUAUGCUUGGCAUACUAAUUAAAAUAUAAUCUGUCCCCCCUCAAUAUUUGGUACUCACUUACCAACAAUGUUGCUUAGGAUAUUGUUUCUCCCACGAUUGAUUGCUAUUAUUAUUGGGCAAAUCCCUACUUUGAUACCAAUUGACGCAGCAUAAACGUAGAAGGGAUAUGAAUGUAAACCCUCGAAGAACAAGUUUUUUGGAAUUCAUCGGAGUUUGAGAGAAAACCCAAAGGUUAGUUUGUUUAAUUCUCAAUUGAUGAUCACAACGGAUAGCAGCCACGACUUAAAUAAGCCGUUUACAACACCUUUGGACAACUCAAAAGGCUUAGGAAUUAAAACGAAAGUAAUUGACAUUAAUUGGACGGAAAUCGAAAUGUCUAAUUUUUGAAAGCUUAAACAACAUCGGAAGGCUAAAAUUUAUCAAAGAUCAUAGCAAGACAAUAUGUUUGAACAUGACGUCACACUCUUUUCAAGAAGGUAUUAUGCGCCCAAAACGGAGCUCGAACAUGAAAUUUGUAAAUUACCAUUGCGUCCUUUUGUCUUAUCAAUUUUAAAGCGCUUUUAUUCUUUAAUUUUCCUCAUAAAAAUUCACUCCAAUCUUAUCCUAAAUCAGAACACUUUCUCUAGCCUUACUCACAAACACACAAAUUCUUCCCACAUUUUAGUAAUUUGACUCCGCCCGUAACAACAUGACUUCUUAUGUGAUGACCUUACGAGUUCAACCACAUUGAUGCUCCUGUUAAAGAUUCACUUAUAGAACUUGUCUCUAAAAACCGACAUGUAAGAAAAAAGGUGCUCAACAAUCUCCAGUUAUGCUGUAACAUAUUGCUGCCGGGUUUGAAUGUUUUUUGGUCUACUGAUGUAAAAAAUGAGAGCCCUUCCUCAUGCUCGCGUGCAUGUUGAAUGUGCAAAAAAUAAACUUCCAAGCAAUUUAUGUGGUGUUGAUGAUAAAAUCAACUUUGAAAUCUUUUCACACUCAUCGAGAAGUAGCUUGGAUGGUGCAAGUAAUGCUAAAUUUUAAGAUUAGAAUUAAUCAGAUAGUUCGAAUUUGGCACGUAAUUUAACAUAAAGUCAAACGAAAAAAUCCAUUUGUAGACGGCUAAAAUUUGAACCUAAUCUUUGCCUCUAUAGGAUGAGGCUGCUGCAGCUCUCUACUUUUUUCAAAGCCAACACAGAUAUUUUAAGCCACCGGUGGAUUCGAAUUUGGUCUACAUCAGGUCUUCCAAUGAGAAUAUGAUGUCUGUGUCCAUGCUUUUCUCAGCAUUCACAGGACCACCAAUACUAUACUUGAAAAGUUGAACAUAAAUUUGUUUUCUUGCGCGUACAUAAUAAAAUAAUCAAUCAUGGACAUGGACGUCCAAGGAAUCGUUGUCUACAGUAUACAGUGGCGCCAUACAUAAUAAACAAUAGUGAAAAGUGAAAAUCAAAUAUACGAUCUCGGAUGCAAGAAAAAAUAUUUAUAACCGCUUAAAUUACAAGUCAUUUACUUUUUUUUUUUUUUUGCUACUUAGAAGUUAGAAAAAAAAUGAAAUACGGGUUUUCCUUUUGUUUCUAAUGCAAUUGUCAUUGAGAAAGGAGUAAUUAAAUUUGGGAUUUCAAGUAUGAGACAAAUGUUUUUCAUCAACUGAGCUAUGUACGUAUGUAUUUGGCUUGGUAUGUUAUAAUAAGUUCAUGACUAGCAGACAUGUAAUUCAAUCAUAUCACUACCUACAUGUUGGCAUAAAUAAAAAAAUAUAUUUAAUAAACUCAUGGUGCGUGUACAAGCUCAUAUGUUAGAGCACCUGACUCUUCCUCAACGCCAAACCAGCUAAUUAAUUAGGCAGAUGGUCUUCUUGAGCCAUCUCCUUGUUUCCAGAAAUGAAGACUUCCUCACAACCGAAAAUCAUGGCAUUCCAAGAAGAAAAAGCACUUUCCACCAGAGCUGUUUCUUCACAGCAUUCUUUUCAACUCAUUCCAGUUAUACUCCUCCUUAUGCUGGCUUCUUCAGAUUCAGUAGCAAAAGCAGAAGUUGUUGGCCAAGAAGCAGAAGCUCUUCUGAAAUGGAAAGCUAGCCUUGACAACAAUACAAGCAGCCUCUCUCUUUUGUCUUCCUGGAUUGGAAACAGCAAUUGCAAUUGGGAUGGCAUUUCUUGCAACAGUUUCGGAAGCAUAACACAAAUAAACCUCACUUUUUCUGGCUUAAGAGGUACACUUCAUGCUUUUAAUUUCUCAGCAUUCCCAUGUCUCAUGAGCCUAAAUUUAAGCCACAACGCGAUUUUCGGAACCAUCCCAUCGGAGAUAGAGUUUCUGAAAAGCCUUCAAAUCCUUGAUCUUUCUGGAAACAACAUCAAUGGGUCCAUUCCACAUGAAGUUGGAAUGUUAGGCAACUUAACCAUUCUGUCCCUUAAAGACAACAAUCUCUCUGGAAAUCUCCCUACAGAAAUAUGCAUGCUGAAUUCACUUAGUGUGAUCAAUGUUGCAGAUAACAAUCUCAUGGGGUCGAUUCCAGAAGCAAUCGGAAACCUGAUUAGCCUCAAGGAGUUGUAUCUGAUGGGAAAUCAAUUAAUUGGAAAUAUCCCACCUGAAGUAGGAAAGCUCAAAUUUCUUACUCAUUUGGGAUUGGUUGGUAACAAACUCAAUGGCUCUCUUCCUUCAGAACUGAAUAAUUUUACAUUUUUAAAGUGGUUGGCGUUGAGUAACAACAACUUUUCUGGCAGCAUUCCCCACGAUAUAUGCAUCAGCGGAGCACUCGAAUUGUUUACAGCACACAACAAUCAGUUGACAGCCCCCAUGCCUAGAAGCUUGAGGAACUGCACCAGCUUAGUUAGACUGAGGCUUGAGAGGAACCAGCUGACAGCAAACAUAGCUCAAGAGUUUGGCAUUUAUCCGAAAUUAACUUAUGCCGAUUUGAGUUACAACAGAUUCUAUGGAGAGCUUUCAGAAAACUGGGAGCAGUGCCAAAGUUUACAAAGCUUGAGGCUCAGCAACAACAUAAUUUCCGGGAGGAUACCUCGGCUUGAGGGAUCAGUUCAGCUCAAUGUGCUCGACCUAUCUUCAAAUAAUCUCACUGGUACAAUCCCAAAGGAACUAGGGAAGUUGACAAGCUUGUUCGACCUUAACCUAGGUGAUAACAAACUUUCAGGCAGCGUGCCCUCAGAGAUUGGAAUGCUAACCAAUCUACAACAUCUUAACUUAGCAGCCAAUGAUUUCAGUGGACUAAUUCCGGAGAAAUUAGGUGGGUGCACAGAGUUGUUGAACUUGAACUUGAGCAAAAACAGAUUUAGUGAGAGCAUUCCUCUUCAGAUGAGGAGCAUAAACACUCUUCAAGUUCUUGAUCUCAGCCAAAAUUCACUGAUGAGUGAUAUCCCACCACAGCUUGGGAAUUUGAUGAAGUUGGAAGUCUUGAAUCUCUCCCACAAUGAGCUCUCUGGUUCGAUCCCAUCUACAUUCGAUAACAUGUUGAGCUUGACAGUUGUUGACAUAUCAUACAAUCAUUUGGAGGGUCCUCUUCCCAACAACAAAGCGUUCCACGAGGCUUCGUUUCUAGCUUUUGCGAAUAACACAGGCUUGUGUGGCAAUGCUACCGGUUUGAAUGUUUGCCCGUCCGAAACAAAAGGGGAGAAAAAGAGCAGCAAAUCGGUUAUCUUCAUUGUACUCCUUGUUUUAAGCAUCCUGUUUUUUGCAUUUGGGGUAACUGGGGUUCUUUGUGUGGUCUGCUGUCGGCGGGAAAGGCAAUUAAAUGAAGACCAGUUUGCGGUUUGGAGCUAUGAUGGAAGACUUGAGUACGAAGACAUUAUUGAAGCCACAGAGGAAUUCGACUCCAAAUAUUGUGUGGGGGUGGGAGGCAAUGCAACUGUUUUUAAAGCUGAGCUGCCAACAGGCCGGAUUGUUGCGGUGAAGAAACUUCACAUGCUGCAGGAUAGUGAAGUGGCAAACCUCAAGGCUUUCGAGAGUGAGGUUCGUACUCUUUCAGAGAUUCGUCACAGAAACAUUUUGAAGCUUUAUGGUUUCUGUUCGCAUCCACAGCACCCUCUUUUGUUGUACGAUUACAUAGAAGGAGGAAGCCUGGAAAACAUACUGACCGACGAAAACCAUGCGGUUAAGUUUGGAUGGAUCGAGAGGGUGAAUGUUGUCAAGGAUGUUGCUAAUGCAUUGUCUUAUAUGCAUCAUGAUUGUUCACCUCCGAUAGUACAUCGAGACAUUUCGAGUAAGAACAUCUUGCUGGAUUUGGAAUAUGGAGCUUAUGUCUCCGAUUUUGGUACAGCUAAGCUCUUGAAUCUUGAGACUUCAAAUUGGACUUCGUUUGCAGGCACAUUCGGAUACAGUGCUCCAGGUAUUCAUCUUCUGAAUUCUUCCAUUUAACAUAAGUACUUAUUUCCUGCUUUUACUCAUCAUGACUUGUUCUUUGUUCUGCAGAGUUAGCAUACACCAUGGAAACGAACGAGAAAUGCGAUCUUUAUAGCUUUGGAGUGGUUGCACUAGAAGUGAUCAUGGGAAAGCAUCCCGGAGACCUCCUCUCCUAUUUUUUGUCAUUGUCAUUAACAUCAACACCCGAACCUAUAAAACUGAACGACAUCUUAGACAAGAGGCUCCCGCCUCCUGGAAAUCAUGUUGUUGAAAAAGUGAUCACCGUUGCAAACCUUGCAUUUGCGUGCUUGCGAACGAAUCCCCAAUCUCGACCAACCAUGCAACAAAUUACCCGCGAGUUGUUAUUUUGAAGGACCAUUUUUGCCUUUUAAAGGCAAAACCCAAUUACAUAAGCUAUGACGAAACCUGGACCGGAAGAC
rnacentral:lncRNA from 1 species